GGGCAAGUGAGUUGUUUGAGAUUGAUAAUAGAGGAGGGUUAGCAACAAUUAAAGAAGGCCAUGAAGUUGAAACUAGUACUUUAUAUUCAUUUGAUUUCCAUGACAAUGGGAAUGCUGUUGUCUAUGUUGUUGUUGGGAAUAGUAAUAAGAUUAGUAAGGAGACAAGUAUGGAUGCUCUUCUUUGGACACUCGAAAAUGUUGUGGUCG
rnacentral:misc_RNA from 1 species